rnacentral:rRNA from 1 species
UGGCUCAGGACGAACGCUGGCGGCGUGCUUAACACAUGCAAGUCGAGCGGAAAGGCUCCUUCGGGGGUACUCGAGCGGCGAACGGGUGAGUAACACGUGAGUAAUCUGCCCUUGGCUUUAGGGUAAGCCCCGGAAACGGGGUCUAAUACCGGAUACGACGCACUCUCGCAUGGGAUGUGUGUGGAAAGUUUUUCGGCCAGGGAUGUGCUCGCGGCCUAUCAGCUUGUUGGUGGGGUAAUGGCCUACCAAGGCUUCGACGGGUAGCCGGCCUGAGAGGGUGACCGGCCACACUGGGACUGAGACACGGCCCAGACUCCUACGGGAGGCAGCAGUGGGGAAUAUUGGACAAUGGGCGGAAGCCUGAUCCAGCAACGCCGCGUGAGGGAUGACGGCCUUCGGGUUGUAAACCUCUUUCAGUACCGACGAAGCGCCGAUGAUGGUGGUGACGGUAGGUACAGAAGAAGCACCGGCCAACUACGUG